GACGAACGCUGGCGGCGUGCUUAACACAUGCAAGUCGAACGGAAAGGCCCUGCUUUUGUGGGGCGCUCGAGUGGCGAACGGGUGAGUAACACGUGAGUAACCUGCCCUUGACUUUGGGAUAACUUCAGGAAAAUGGGGCUAAUACCGGAUAGGAGCUCCUGCUGCACGGUGGGGGUUGGAAAGUUUCGGCGGUUGGGGAUGGACUCGCGGCUUAUCAGCUUGUUGGUGGGGUAGUGGCUUACCAAGGCUUUGACGGGUAGCCGGCCUGAGAGGGUGAACGGCCACCAUAGGACUGCGGUACGGCCCAGUCGCCAACGUGAGGCAGCAGUCGAGAGUAUUGCACAGUGGGGCGACGCGUGAUGCGACGACGCCGCGAGCGGGAUGAAGGCUUACGAGUUAUGAACCGCUUUCGCCUGUGACGAAGCGAGAGUGACGGUAAUGGGUAAAGAAGCACCGGCUAACUACGUG
rnacentral:rRNA from 1 species